GACGAACGCUGGCGGCGUGCUUAACACAUGCAAGUCGAACGGAAAGGCCCCUUUGGGGGUACUCGAGUGGCGAACGGGUGAGUAACACGUGAGUAACCUGCCCUUGACUUCGGGAUAACUUCAGGAAACUGGGGCUAAUACCGGAUAGGAAUCCUUGCUGCAUGGUGGGGGUUGGAAAGCUUCGGCGGUUUUGGAUGGACUCGCGGCUUAUCAGCUUGUUGGUGGGGUAGUGGCUUACCAAGGCUUUGACGGGUAGCCGGCCUGAGAGGGCGACCGGCCACAUUGGGACUGAGAUACGGCCCAGACUCCUACGGGAGGCAGCAGUGGGGAAUAUUGCACAAUGGGCGGAAGCCUGAUGCAGCAACGCCGCGUGCGGGAGGACGGCCUUCGGGUUGUAAACCGCUUUCAGCAGGGGCGAAGCUUGUGGUGGCGGUACCUGCAGAAGAAGCACCGGCUAACUACGUG
rnacentral:rRNA from 1 species